rnacentral:rRNA from 1 species
AACGAACGCUGGCGGCAUGCCUAACACAUGCAAGUCGAACGAGACCUUCGGGUCUAGUGGCGCACGGGUGCGUAACGCGUGGGAACCUGCCCUUAGGUUCGGAAUAACUCCCCGAAAGGGGUGCUAAUACCGGAUAAUGUCUUCGGACCAAGGAUUUAUCGCCUUUGGGUGGGCCCGCGUUAGAUUAGCGAGUUGGUAGGGUAAAAGCCUACCAAGGCGACGAUGCAUAGCUGGUCGGAGAGGAUGAUCAACCACACUGGGAAUGAGACACGGACCAGAAUCGUAGGGGAGGGAGCAGAGGAGAAUAUUGGACGAGGGGCGAAAGCCUAAUACAGCAAUGCCGGGUGAGUGAUGAAGGGCGUAGGGUUGUAAAGCUCUUUUACCCGGGAUGAGAAUGACAGUACCGGGAGAAUAAGCACCGGCUAACUCCGUG